rnacentral:lncRNA from 1 species
GAGAGUGGAAUGUUGUGCAGAAGGUGAACAGUAUUUGUGACUGAAGGUUGCUACCAAACUCAUUUCCCAUUGCUUACCAAUGGGCUGUGCAACUCCAAAUUUUAGCUAGUAAGUCCAAUACCUUCUCAGGUGUUUGCUGUCAGGAAGAUGUCUCUAAACAGUACCUCUCAUUGCCUCACACUUCACCCCGUGGCAUUUGCUCAUUUUCACAGGAGUGGUGUCAAUGGAAUGCUGCAAUUUGACGGCUACCUCCACUCAUCACUGAGGCAAUCCUGUGUUUGUUAUAUUUCCACACAAAGGAAAGAAGAAAAGUAUCUGCUGGAAGCCGUGUCAUAUGUUGAAAGUUUU